rnacentral:rRNA from 1 species
UACGUAGGGUGCGAGCGUUGUCCGGAGUUAUUGGGCGUAAAGGGCUCGUAGGCGGUUUGUCGCGUCGGGAGUGAAAUCCUACGGCUUAACUGUGGGCUUGCUUUCGAUACGGGCAGACUAGAGGUAUGCAGGGGAGAACGGAAUUCCUGGUGUAGCGGUGAAAUGCGCAGAUAUCAGGAGGAACACCUGUGGUGUAGACAGCUUACUGGACCACUUCUGACGCUGAGACACGAAAGCGUGGGUAGCAAACAGG